GCAGAUAAUUUUAAUUCCAGCCAAUACUGAGUGAAGCAAUGCUGAUUUCCCCAGAUGGCUCUGCUUUCUUACACAGAACCCCGACAGAAUGAUAAUUAAAGGUAACCCAGUCAUGCCCAUCCCUUUUAUUUGCCACUACUCCUGGCUGGCUUGUUCCCGAGGUCACACAAAGUGCAACGCCA
rnacentral:lncRNA from 12 species